rnacentral:rRNA from 1 species
AUUGAACGCUGGCGGCAGGCCUAACACAUGCAAGUCGAGCGGAGCGGCGGACGGGUGAGUAAUGCCUAGGAAUCUGCCUGGUAGUGGGGGAUAACGUCCGGAAACGGGCGCUAAUACCGCAUACUAUCAGAUGAGCCUAGGUCGGUUUAGCUAGUUGGGGGGGUAAAGGCCUACCAAGGCGACGAUCCGUAACUGGUCUGAGAGGAUGGUCAGUCACCUGGGAACUGGAACACGUUCCAUAUUCUUACGUGAGGAAGGAGUGGGAAAUAUUGGACAAUGGGCGAAGCCUGAUCCAGCCAUGCCGCGUGUGUGAAGAAGGUCUUCGGAUUGUAAAGCACUUUAAGUUGGGAGGCGUUACCAACAGAAUAAGCACCGGCUAACUUCGUGCCAGCAGCCGCGGUAAUAG